rnacentral:lncRNA from 1 species
AUGUUUUUGUUGUUUUUUGUUUAUUGCGACCGGGCCAUAUAAAAUAUGGUUGCCUACGUACUCCCGGGUAUCAGGGAGAUCAGGUCGACGUAGUUCACCCCUAUGAGCUGAAACCUGAAUGACUUGAUUUUUGAUUUUUUUGAUUUUUCCUUUUUUUUCUUUUUCUCUUUUUUUCCUUUUUUUUUUUCCUUUUUUUCUUUUUUUUCUUUUUUUUUUCAAUAUUUACACACAUGGAAA